rnacentral:rRNA from 1 species
GACGAAGGGGGCUAGCGUUGUUCGGAAUUACUGGGCGUAAAGCGAGUGUAGGUGGUUGUCAUAGUCAGGUGUGAAAGCCUUGAGCUCAACUCAAGAAAUGCACUUGAUACCGGGCAGCUAGAGGACCGGAGAGGAUAGUGGAAUUCCCAGUGUAGUGGUGAAAUACGUAGAGAUUGGGAAGAACACCAGUGGCGAAGGCGGCUAUCUGGACGGUUUCUGACACUAAGACUCGAAAGCGUGGGGAGCAAACAGG